rnacentral:lncRNA from 10 species
GGCUAAGGGCAGUGCAGGGGCCUGACACCCAACCCCACUUCUACUAGACCAGCUGUGCACCAGGAUGCAAGCAUCCCCUGAGAGGUGGCCCUGGAACUGAGCCCCUCAUGUGGGUUCCUGAGCAUUGGUCAGGAGUCCAGAUGAAAACUCCGAAGUCCUGACCACCUUGGGAACCAAGACAGAAUGGAAAGGGACAAGAGGCUAAGGGGAAUGUCUCUCCCUGAGGGGGAAAUUCCUGAGCUUAGUCUUCUCUGAGCAAAUAGACAAUCCAUGAGAUCUACUAAACUAAGGAUGGAGAAACUGCAGCUGAGGAGAAGAAGGGGGCUGAAGAAGCAGAAAAAAAAGAGGGAGACAUGGAUCGAGGGUGUGAUCAGAGCAAUGUGUUGGUCUGAGGACCCUUUUCUGGUUCCCUCGUCCUCCAUUCCCUCCCUUCAGCAAGUUGAAGGCUGAUUUGAUUAUUGCUUGUUGAACACUGUCCCCUGCUGGCUACUAGCAGAAACAUUUUCCCUCUUCCCUAUCCCUAGCUAGGAGCUGCUGAGAGCCUGAAAAAGAGAAGAAAUGACCUGACUGGGGACAAAGGACGAAGGAAUUGCAAUUCUGCAAUCUGGAAUUCUCUACUUGUCAGAGAUUUCUGGAAGGUGAAGGAGGCUUGAAGGCUGACUAGGGGUAAACAGAGUUUAGAAUUCAUAGGUGGUUCAUUUACAUAUAUUAUGGCCUAUAAUUUUCAGAUUGAUUUUUUUCUGGUCUGUGUCUGUUUCAUGUAUUGUGUGUCUGUGUUAUGUGUGUGUUCUGUAUCUGGGCGUGCUUACCUGAUUCUGUGGUUUUUGAACACGUG